CCUACGGGAGGCAGCAGUGAGGAAUAUUGGUCAAUGGGCGGAAGCCUGAACCAGCCAAGUCGCGUGAGGGAAUAAGGCCCUACGGGUCGUAAACCUCUUUUGCCGGGGAGCAAGGGCGGGGACGUGUCCCGGCCCGGAGAGUACCCGGAGAAAAAGCAUCGGCUAACUCCGUGCCCGCAGCCGCGGUAAUACGGAGGAUGCGAGCGUUAUCCGGAUUUAUUGGGUUUAAAGGGUGCGUAGGCGGGCUUUUAAGUCAGCGGUAAAAAUUCGGGGCUCAACCCCGUCCGGCCGUUGAAACUGGGGGCCGUGAGUGGGCGAGAAGAAGGCGGAAUGCGUGGUGUAGCGGUGAAAUGCAGAGAGAUCACGCAGAAGCCCGAGUGCGAAGGCAGCCUUCCGGCGCCCUACUGACGCUGAGGCACGAAAGUGCGGGGAUCGAACAGGAUUAGAUACCCGGGUAGUC
rnacentral:rRNA from 1 species